AGAUUACCGGAGGUAGAGCACUGAAUAGGCUAGGGGGCGAUGAGCUUACUGAACCUUAUCAAACUCCGAAUGCCGGCUAAUCGUUCAUCAGCAGUCAGUCAGUGUGAGAUAAGUUUCAUUGACAAGAGGGAAACAGCCCAGACCCACAGCUAAGGUCCCAAAGAUACGCUAAGUGGAAAACGAUGUGGAGUUGCAAAAACAACCAGGAUGUUGGCUUAGAGGCAGCCACUCAUUAAAAGAGUGCGUAAUAGCUCACUGGUCGAGUGACUCUGCGCGGAAAAUAUAACGGGGCUAAGCAUAUAACCGAAGCUUGGGAACUCUAGUGACUUGGUAGGGGAGCGUCGAAUACGGGGUGAAGUACGAGCGAGAGCACGUGUGGACUGUAUUCGAGUGAGAAUGCCGGAAUGAGUAGCGAGAAUUAUGUGGGAAUCAUAAUGGCCGAAAAUCUAAGGUUUCUUGGGGAAGGUUCGUCCGCCCAAGGUAAGCCGGGAGCUAAGGCGAGGCCGCGAGGCGUAGUCGAUGCACACACGGUUGAAAUUCCGUGGCCGCCGAAAGAUUUAAGCACAGGGACACAUUGGGAUAUCCGAACCCGGGCGUUGGUUGACUCGGGCGAAAGGGACCGAACAUCAGUAGGGAAGUCGGAGAUGCCCAGUGGCGAGAAAAGCUGUAUGUAUGUAUGAGGUGCCCGUACCGCAAACCGACACAGGUAGAUGAGGAGAGAAUCCUAAGGCCAACGGGAGAAGGGUUGUUAAGGAACUCGGCAAAUUGACCCCGUAACUUCGGGAUAAGGGGAGCCGGCCACGGCCGGCCGCAGAGAAUAGGCCCAAGCAACUGUUUACCAAAAACACAGGUCUCUGCUAAAU
rnacentral:ncRNA from 1 species